GCACUGCCGACGUGUCCCAUACUAGGACGAAAUGACCAUCCAGUGC
rnacentral:hammerhead_ribozyme from 1 species